rnacentral:rRNA from 1 species
CUACGGGCGGCUGCAGUGAGGAAUUUUGCGCAAUGGGGGAAACCCUGACGCAGCGACGCCGCGUGGACGAUGAAGGCCUUAGGGUUGUAAAGUCCUGUCAGCAGGAAAGAAAUGUGCAUAAGCUAAUACCUUAUGCAUUUGACGGUACCUGCAAAGGAAGCACCGGCUAACUCCGUGCCAGCAGCCGCGGUAAUACGGAGGGUGCAAGCGUGAAUCGGAAUUACUGGGCGUAAAGGGCGCGUAGGCGGCCCUGUUAGUCAGAUGUGAAAGCCCCCGGCUCAACCGGGGAAGUGCAUCUGAAACUGCAGGGCUUGAAUAUGGGAGAGGAAAGUGGAAUUCCCGGUGUAGAGGUGAAAUUCGUAGAUAUCGGGAGGAACACCAGUGGCGAAGGCGACUUUCUGGACCAAUAUUGACGCUGAGGCGCGAAAGCGUGGGGAGCAAACAGGAUUAGAUACCCUCGUAGUC